rnacentral:lncRNA from 1 species
UAAAAACUCCGGGCACAAGCCAGUAGAGAUCCACUAUGGAAGAUAUUGACUUACAGUACGCCAGACAUUAUUGAUUCUAACAAUACUCUGACCUCCUUACUGUAUCGACCACAGCUAUCCUGGAUUUUGCAGAUCUGCGCCAAAAUCCCAGCCUUGAAUAUCUUCUACCUCCCGUGAAUCACCAAGCACUCCAGCUCUUCAAGCAAUUCCCUUCCCGGAUCUUUAAACUGACAAUCUUCUGGAAGUUGAUAUGGAGAUAUGAAAGGGUGUUUUAGUUUUGAGAGGGUUGAUGUUUUUAUUCAAAGAACCAUGAGAAUUAAAAGAUGAAAAGAAUGAAUAUUAGGUUCUUAAUCCUUUGGAAGUUAAGAGGAAUUCCUUUUUGAAUGUUUGCAUACGAAAUCGGACGUUUUGUUUAUAUAGUAGGUUGAAUUUGGUAAUAUGGAGCGUUAAAAAUUCGUGAGGCAUUAAAAUUACCAAAGGCCAGAUAACACCGUCGCUCGAGCGAGGUGCUGGCAAAACUCGAGCGAUAGCUCAGCGAAACUCUAGCGACGUUUGUUCUGCAAUUUAGGCUCGAGCGAGGUCAGGACGAAACUCUGCACUUUACCCUAGACCUAUGCUAUGAAAUUUGCUAAAUUGCAACUUUAGUCCCUGAACUAUUAGACCUUUACAAUUUGGUCCUUGACUUUACAAUUUUGACAAAUAGGUCCUUUGGUCACAAAUUGCCAAUUACACAUUUUCCUAACAAACUCCCCCUUUGGCAUUCUGUGACAAAAAUACAUAUGACAGUCAAGGACAUAAAUAAAAAUGACUCCAAACAACCUAUCUAUUCAACCAAAGCAGCUAUCUCUUGUUGAACCUGUUUCCUGAAAAUCAAAAACUCAAAUACCAAGUGUAAAAGCAUGUUAAAUGGAAACAGUAAAUAAAAACAAGAAAUAGAUCAUACGUCAUUAACCAGAUUAAGAAGCAAUAAUAAUGUAAGUCAAAAACACCAAAAACAUACAUUAAUAUUGCCAAAACAUCAAAAACUUAAUCUAGUCAUGAAUUAUAUACACAUCACCUUUAUAUCACAAUUACCAAAAAAUCGAUAUCUAUCUAUCCAAAUCUAUCCAAAAUAUCUACUCCCCCUUUUUGUCACGAAGGACAAAGGAUAAAAAAAAAUCAACUAACUAACUACGAGGCAGCACCUCCAGCAUCUAAAGACUCAGCACCGCUCUCGCCACUCGUGUUCUCCUCCAUACUAUCACGAAUCCAGCGCAAAUGUCGCUGACACAUGGCAAGAGCACAGCGAAAAGUAGAAAGCUCAGCUAACUGACGCUCCGAAGCAGCACGUAACUGCGUCAUCUCAGCCAUCAUACGAGCUGCUGCUCGACCAGUGUAGACAUCUGUCCCAUAAGCGUCACCAUGGGGUCAAUGGGCAAAGCAGCCACCCCAGGAGCAGAAGUAGAUGUCGAAGGAAAGGUAGAGCUAAGCGGAAUAGCUAAAGGAGGAUCGGAACGAGAAGGAAGAAAGACACGAGAACCCCCAAUAAGAAUAUCAGUAAUAGGAUCAUGGGGCUCCGAAAAAUCAAAGAUAUCAACAGGCUCAGCCUGAGCCGCAGCAUGAGCAAAAGAGGAAGAAGAUGGAACAUGGGAUCGACUCUGAUGAAUGGUCUGCUGUCCUAUCGGACGUCCUAUGCGACUGGUCGAACCCUCUGGAAAAGAAGCACCUAAAGACAAAGCAACCCUAUGAAUCAAGCAAGCAUAAGGCAACCUAAUCCGUCCCCCAGGAGUACGAAAUGAAGCCAGAAUCUGCUGGCACACAAAACUAGGAAGGUCGAUCGAGUCCCCAUGAAGAAGGGCAUAUAGAAAAUGGGCCCUCACCAUAGGUAAAGAAGACGUGUGGCCAACAGGCCACAGGUUUGUGCACACGAUGCGCAACAAAACCUGACGAUCAGUGGGUAAAGAACCCGUGGCCAUCACCGUAGGCCCCCCGACAGACGGGGUGUUCAAAAGCGUUGACCGAACAAGGGCAUCGGCCGAAAUAGAAGCAGGUAGAAUAUAAGGAAAAGUCGAAUGGGUAAUCUGAGGUAUACAUAAAGCAUGAGUUACUGCUGACGGAGUAACCCUAAAAGAAUGACCUCUAAGAAAAACCCUAAAUGACGAGCUGUUUAUGUCAUGAAUAUUAGCAUAAAACUCCUGAACCAGGAGUGGGGGCGGAGGUGAAAGACCAACAAGAAGGGGCUCCCAAUCCUGAAAAACAAAAAUGGCGGCUAUAUCAACAGGAAAGUCAGAUAAGAUUACCUCACGCUCCAUGAGUACGGGGCGUAAGGAGAACUGAGAAGUGAAGACCUCCUGAGCUGUAGCAGAAAUGAAUCGCAAUCGACUAUACGACGUCGAACCACUGGCCGGCUGCGCAGAGGGUCGAGAACGCUUACGAGCCAUCUGGCACACGUAGAGACAAAACUACUGAGUAACAUGAAGAAUGCACGUAAUAUGAUGCAAUGUGAAAUGAAACACUGCACAUACAAAUGAGGCACGAAAGAAAUACAUCAAAAAACGUGAACGACCCUAAGAGCAAACCAAGCAUGACAAAAAGAUAAACCUAAAAUAUGUCCAAAAGCACUCAACAUGGCACGUGAAGAUAAUGAAACAAAGACAUAAUGGAAAGAAGGAAAACAAAAGUCAUAUAACUAAGGACUUUCAUUGAACACGUGGCGUGCGAUACUUUGGCACACAAUUCCAAGCACAUACGAGACGCAAACACACAAGCAAGCAUAGUCCCACAAACUAGAAUCCAUGGUCUUUAGAAUGAAACAAACCACACAAGAAAUAGAGUAACAGAAUGCAAGAACGAAUAACACGAACAUGGACGAAAAACACGAAAAUUCCAUUACUAAACCAUGGAAGAACACACAAUUUAAUGUAAUCUGUGAUGCAAAAUACGAAGAAUAACAAGAAUAACAAACAAGAAACACAUGAAGAUCAUAACAAGGGAAGAAGAAACAAUCAAAAUUUAAAAAAAAACUAAACACAAGAGGGAAAAAAAAAGAAAGAAAAAAAAAGAAAAACAAUUACCUCAAAAACCCUGUGCAAAUGUUGAAAUUCGGAGGCCAAUAUAUGUUAGGGGCUUCGAAAUUGUGUAAUAAACAAGUGUGAUGGAUUAAUUUUGAAUGAAUCGCAGCAAUUGUUGAAAAAAUGAGAGAGAAUGGAGAAGAAUUGCUCAAAAAAUAAAAACUAGGACUCUUAAAAAAGGCACUGUCGCUCGAGCGAGACAUGGGCGAAACUCGAGCGAAAAGCGUUCUGCUUUUGUCGCUCGACUGAAGUUCAAAUGUUAGAAAUAGCACUAAAAUUUUGAAUAUUGAUAAAAAGAACACAAUUAUCAAGAAAUGACGAAAUUAGCCCCAAAUCGUGUAUUUUCAAAAAUAAGACAAGUGCAGAGCAUCGGAAACUAAUAAAAAAAAACGAAGCAUGGGACCAAUUAUGUAAACUAUACCAACAAUAAGCAUAAAGUCAAAACCCCGACACUCAGCACAUAGACAAAUCGUAAGUCCACACAUAGUUCAAAAUUCCGUGGAGUAAAGUGUAUACAAAACAUCACCGUGAAAAGUGUCACGUAGUCCAUGCAAGUGAGACUCAAAACCUUAAAUUAGUGAGAAAGGACACGUGAAAACAACCAAAUAGAGGUGUAUGUCUACCAAGUGACAGUCAAAUCCAAUUCCACGAGGACCUAUAUCAAAUAUUACGAUUGUCACAAUUUUACUCCUCCUCACUGUAUGAUUCCAUAUUUCUUCCCUUUUUUUUCUUUUUUUUAACAAAAGAACUUAAGUGCAAUGCUAUCCCCAUUAGGCGACAUAAAUGACCCCGGUAACGAACUUUGGGCCGGUGACUCCCAAGUCAGAUGACCAUAGGGCACCAGGUUAGAAACCCCUCAGACUUAAUUGUUCGAGUCAAAUAGGCCCCUAAGACAGUCAUAAGUUCAACAAAAUAAAAGUGGGGAAAGACAAUAUGAUUAGGUAACACUAGUCCCAGAUCAAGUCAAAUGGACACAUAACCCCAAUCACAAAAGAACACUAUCCCAAGUCUCACCCAUGCAGUCAAGACUCACUCACAGGACUACAGUGUGUACUGUGCAAAAAUGAAUGACGAGGCAUAUACUCAGAACUCCACAGGCAAAGAGAAUGAUGAUGGAACCUCAAACUUAUACAUAUGAUGAAAAUUAGAGUUUGAUCUUUAAUGCAAAAGCUAUUAUCGUCACAUAAAAGACACAAAAAAAAUCCCAUUUUAUUUUUAUUUUUAUUAUUUUUAUUUUUUAAUUAAUUUUUUUAAUUUUCAUAUUUAAACACACAAAUAUAACACACAAAAGAAGACUAAACGACAAACUAACAAUCAAAAAUACAUCACACACACAGAGAUCAUAUGCAAGAUAUGAAGUGACUAGGUGCAUAUGUGAUGAAUGCAUGAAUAUGCAUGAAUCCACGAUCAGAUAGGUGAACAAACACCAACAGCCGUCCGAAGCGACUCAAACCUCAAUCCAUCUAGUGGUUUCGUAAGUAGAUUAGCCAAUUGAUUAUUAGUAGAGACAUGGUCGAGGGAGACUACAUGUGAUUCAACAAGCUCACGAAUGAAGUGAUGUUGUAUGUCAAUAUGUUUUGUUCGAGAGUGUUGAAUGGGAUUCUUAGAAAUAUUUAUAGCACUUGUAUUAUCACAAAAAACAGUCAUGGUCCCUUGACUAAUCCCAUAAUCACUCAGCAUCUGCUUCAUCCAGAGAAGCUGAGUGCAGCGACUACCUGUAGCUAUGUAUUCGGCCUCUGCUGUGGAUAGAGAUAUAGAAUUCUGUUUCUUACUUAACCAGGCUACGAGAUUGCUCCCCAUGUAAAAACAACCCCCUGUCGUACUUUUCCUAUCAUAUGCAUUCCCGGCCCAGUCGGCUUCGGAGUAACCAGCCAAAUCAAGAUUAGAAUUCCUAGAGUAGAAUAUCCCUAGAUCAACUGUACCACUCACAUAUCUAAUGAUGCGUCUAACAGAGCUUAAGUGUGAUUCUUUUGGAUCUGCCUAAAAUCGAGCACACACUCCAACACUAAAAGCAAUGUCAGGUCUAGUAGCCGUGAGAUAGAGAGGACUACCUAUCAUGCUUCGAUAUAGGGAAGGAUCUACACACUUACCUGAAGGAUCACGACCUAACUUCAAGUUAGUACUCAUAGGUGUCCGAGUAUGCUUCUUACUAUCUAACCCAAUGCGCUUAACUAGAUCCUUAGCAUACUUAGAUUGUGAAAUAAACAGUUCAUCCUCUGUCUGUCUCACCUGAAGUCCAAGGAAAUAACUCAACUCCCCAAUCAUACUCAUCUCAAAUUCUUGCUUCAAACACUCAGCAAACUCAUAUGCUAGAGACUCAAGAGGAGACCCAAAAAUAAUGUCAUCGACAUAAAUCUCAGCAAUGGUGAUAGUUUCUUCAACAUGUCUAAUAAAUAAAGUCCUAUCUGCACCAUCUCAAGAGAAUCCAUGUUCCUCAAGGUAUGAAGUAAGUCUUUCAUACCAAGUUCUAGGAGCUUGUUUCAGACCAUAAAGUGCUUUGUGGAGUUUGUAGACAUAGUGGGGGAACUUAGGAUCAACAAAUCCUUUUGGUUGUUCCACAUAGACUUCUUUUUGAAGAAGUCCAUUCAAGAAAGCAUUCUUAACGUCCAUUUGAUAGAACUUGAACCCUAAGGUACAAGCAACAGCAAGCAGAAUCCAAAUAGACUCUAGUCGUGCAAUAGGGGCAAAAGUUUCAUCAAAAUCAAUUUCUUUAACUUGAGUAUAACCCUGAGCAACUAAUCUAGCCUUAUUCCUAGUUAUAGUACCUUGGUCAUCUGUCUUAUUCUUAAAGAUCCACUUAGUACCAAUAACAUUACAAAUUUCAGGUCUGGGAACUAAGAUCCACACAUUGUUCCUAGCAAAUUAAUUGAGUUCCUCAUGCAUCGCAUUCACCCAACACUCAUCACUAAGAGCCUCUUCAACUUUCUUAGGCUCUAUAUGAGAGACAUAGCUAGUGUAAGCUAGAUUGUUCAGUACUCUCCUACGAAGUCUCAUACCUUCAUCUAGAUCUCCAAUGAUAUUGUCCUUAGGAUGAUUAGACUUAACCCUAGUCGAUGGUUCCUUAGGAUUUUUAUCUCGAUCUCGUGGAAGUGUUUCCUUUUCAGGUGUUUCAGUUUUCCUAAGAGAUGAUUCAGACACAGAUGGUUCAGUGGGAUCACUAGAACUUAUAAGAUCACCAUCACUAUCACAAUUUUCAACACUCUUCCCUUCACUCACAGCAUCAUCUAUCACAACAUUGAUUGACUCCAUCACAACAUGAGUUCAUGAGUUAUAUACUCGGAAUGCUCGACUAUUUCUAGAGUAUCCUAAGAAAACUCUUUCAUCACUCUUAGAUUCAAACUUACCCAAGUUCUCUCUAUCACGCAGAAUAUAGCACUUACUACCAAACACACGAAAGUACUUAACCGUAGGCUUUUUACCCUUAAGAAUUUCAUAUGGAGUCUGAUCGGUCUUGGGUCUAAGGUAGACUCUAUUGAUUAUGUGGCAUGCAGUGUUAAUAGCUUCUCCCCAAAAGUGUAGGGCUAGUCCCCUUCCAUGAAGCAUGGCUCUAGCCAUGUCCUGAAGAACACGAUUCUUCCUUUCAACCACCCCAUUUUGUUGAGGAGUGAUAGGGAAAGAAAACUCAUGCAAUAUCCCUUCAUCCAUGCAAAAACUCUCAAGAUUAGAAUUUUCAAAUUCUUUUCCAUGAUCACUACGCAUUCUAGACACUUUGAGAUUGAGUUCAUUACUAAGCCGCUUAUACAGAGACUUUAUAAGAUCACAUGCAUCAGAUUUUUCCCUAAGCAAUUCUAUCCAUGUGAACCUCGAGAAGUCAUCUACCACAACAAUAAUGUAUCGCUUACCUCCUAGACUCUCAGUCCUAGAUGGUCCCAUUAAAUCCAUGUGUAUCAAUUCCAGGGGUCUUUUGGUCAGAAUUUUAGAAGUCUUUUUAUGACUUCCCAUAAACUGUUUACCUAGUUGACAUGGUCCACACACAACAUUUUCACUCGGACUUAUCUUAGGUAAACCAUCUACCAAUUCCUUCUUAGCUAGCUGUAAUAGACUCUUAUAAUUCAAGUGACCUAACCUUUUGUGCCAGAGCUCACUCACAUCAAUUUUUGCACUCCUACACACAUAAUUAGAAUUAGGCAGAACUCCAUAACAAUUGUCAGACGUUCUAAGCCCUUCAAGGACCACCCCACCAGACGAAUCAUACACGGUACAUCUCUUUUGCACAAAGCUAACCUCAAAAUCAUCAUCACAAAUCUGACUAAUGCUUAACAAAUUAGAUUUUAAGCCUUCCACAUAAAGCACAUUAGAGAUCACAGGUAAUCCAUGCAUUUGUACAGUACCUUUGCCAAGAAUAGGUGUAGAACCCCCAUCUUCAAAGGUAACCAUACCAUCAUUACAUUCAUCAAGAGUAGUGAACAAAGCUUUAUUACCACACAUAUGCCUAGAACAAGCAUUAUCUAGAUACCAAAUAUUGUAAUUUUGGGCUUUUAAUGCAACAUGAGCAACAAAACAGUUUUCUUGACUUGAAUGUCUAGCUAGAUCACCCUUUUUGACCCAAACUUUCUUAGAUGAUAAAGUACUCCUAGUAAGCUUAGUAAGCAUCUCAGUCAAAUGACUAAUGUGAUUAGACAGAAAGCUAACCUGACUAGGAAUGUUAUGAUUUCUACUUUCAUUGGCUAGCUUAUAACAUCUAGGCCUAGUGUGUUCUAGAGCUCCACAGUGGUGACAGGUGGGAAUGAACCUAGGCUCAAAGGUACGUGUCUGUGGGUAUCUGGGAUUGAAGUUUCUACGUGAUUGAUGACUCUGUUCUCUCGGAACAUUCUUACCCUUUUUUUGAACUGCCGACAACAUUAGCUUUCUUAGAGGCAGAAACAAACACAGUCUUAGAUGGUCUAGUAAUAUGUGUGUUACCCUCAAUGUAUCAUAGACCUUUCCUAUCUCCUGCAGGCUUAUUCAUUCCCAAAAUAUUGUCCAAUUUCUUAGUCCCACUUAUGAAAGUCUGAAGAUGAGCAUUAGAUUUCUCCAAUUCACUAGUCAAAGUCUUAAUCUUGCCCUCUAACUUCUCAUUGACACACUUUAACUCACUACCACUCUUAAGUGAAUUCUGAAGAUUACUAGCAAGUUUCUUUUUUUCUCUUUCAAGUUCAUCAAUCUUUUUGAGUAGGGCUUUAUUGACCUUUUUGAUUUUAAAACUCUCUUUAAACAAAAGUUGAUAAGCUUCUUGUAUGUCUAUGUCAUCCUCAUCCUCAUUACUAGAAUUAUCGUUAGGAAGUUCUUCCUCAAACUUGUCACUUUCUUUGUCAGAUUCACUCUUAACAGUCGAUAAAAAUGCCAUAUAGUUUCCUUCGUCCUCACUACUGGAAGAUUCCUGUCUAUCAUUGGUCUCAGAUUCAUUAUCUGUAAGUGAGACAACUAAGGCCUUACCUUUCCCUUUUCUUUGGUUCUUCUUAUAACUAGAGCAUUCAUUCCUAUAGUGACCUAUUCCUUGACACUCAUGGCACCUAACCAAACGAGGCUUAUCACUAGACCCUUUAUUGGUAAACUUUUCAAUUUUUUUUUUGAAAAACUGUUAGGGGCUCCACUUUUUCUAUCCUGAGGCCUUCUCCUAUUCUUGAGAACUUUUUGGAAUCUCUUAACAAAGUAAGCAAUUUCAUCGUCCCUAAGUGACUCAGUAUCAUAAGAUUCAUCCUCUUUGAUGGAUUUUAAGGCUAUGGACUUUCCUUUCUUAGGUUGUGUGACAGUGAGUUCAUAAGUUUGCAGGGAUCCUACCGGUUUUCAAUUUUAAUUUCAUCUAGGUCCUUACUUUCCUCAAUGGCAGUGACUUUAGGCCUAAAUCUCUCGGGCAGGGACCUAAGCACUUUUCUCACGAUUUUAGACUCGGGAAUUCUCUCACCUAGAUUGAAGCUAGAAUUAACAAUGUCAUUCAAUUUAGCAUAGAAUUCGUCAAACGUUUCAUCAUCCUUCAUUCUCACUUCUUCAAACCUAGAUGCUAGCAUUUGUAACUUAGAAUUCUUUACCGUUUUAGUUCCCUCAUGUGUAGUUUCAAGAAUGUCCCAAACCUCUUUAACAGUUUCACACAUUGACACUCUCCUAAACUCUUCGGGAGACACGGCCAUAAACAGGGCAUGAAGACCCUUGCUAUUCCAAUUACACUCAGCAAUUUCAUCCUUAGUCCACAGUGAUAUGUCAGUUAGAUUAAUAGUUCCAGAAACGGUAGUGGAGGGAGGUUUCCAGCCAUUUUACACACUUACCCAAACAUGCUCAUCUAAAGACUUAAGAAAAGUACGCAUUCUAACAUUCCAAUAAGCAUAAUUACUUCCAUCGAAAAAUGGAGGUAGAGACAGUGAUUGACUCAUCUAGACAACUAUGGGUCAAGACUCGAGAUUUGGCUCUGAUACCACUUGAAAAAGCUAUAGUUCGACCCAACCAACACCUAGAGGGGGGGUGAAUAGGUGUUUAUGCGGAAUUAAGGCAAUUAAUUAACUAAUGCAACAAGUCACAUAAAUUAUGCAUUGUCCAGAUUCAUUUACAUACUUUAUCUACCUAAGUUGAAUUACCGGUUGAAAAGUAUAUAACAAAAACCAGUAAAAAUGCCACAAAAUGUUGACGGAGAAAACCCAACUGGGUAAAAACUUCGGGCACAAGCCAGUAGAGAUCCACUAUAGAAGAUAUUGACUUACAGUACGCCAGACAUUAUUGAUUCUAACAAUACUCUGACCUCCUUACUGUAUCGACCACAGCUAUCCUGGAUUUUGUAGAUCUGCGCCAAAAUCCCAGCCUUGAAUAUCUUCUACCUCUCGUGAAUCACCAAGCACUCCAGCUUUUCAAGCAAUUCCCUUCCCGAAUCUUCAAACUGACGAUCUUCUGGAAGUUGAUAUGGAGAUAUGAAAGGGUGUUUUGGUUUUGAGAGGGUUGAUGUUUUUAUUCAAAGAACCAUGAGAAUUAAAAGAUGAAAAGAAUGAAUAUUAGGUUCUUAAUCCUUUGGAAGUUGAG